rnacentral:rRNA from 1 species
CACUUGAUGAAUUCUGGCAUGAUUUCAUCCUAAUAAUAGUAUAUUAUUAUAUUAGGUUGAUUCCUAGUAUAAUAAUAUUUAUUAUUAUGGGGAUGACAGUUACUUUGAGAAAAUUAGAGUGUUUGAAGCAGGCUUUUGUUGCCUUGAAUACUGCAGCAUGGAAUAACAAUAUAGGAUUUCGGUUCUAUUAUUUUGUUGGUUUUUUCUGUAGGACUGAAAU